ACAAAAACAUGUCUCUUUGAUUAUAUUAUAUAUGGAGUCUAACCUGCCCAGUGAUUAUAAUUUAACGGCCGCAGUACUUUGACUGUGCGAAGGUAGCAUAAUUAUUUGCCUUAUAAUUGAAGGCUUGUAUGAAUGGUUUGACGAAAAUAAUUCUGUCUUAAUUUAAUUUUUUAGAAUUUAACUUUUAAGUGAAGAGGCUUAAAUUUUAUUGAUAGACAAGAAGACCCUGUCGAGCUUAAAUUUUGAUUAUAAGUAUUAAUAUUUAUAUUAUUUUUUGAUUUUAGUUGGGGUGACUGAGGAAUAAUAUAUAGUUUCCUUAAUUUAUAUAUAAUUUUAUUUUGAUCCAUUAUUUAUGUAAUGAUUAAUAGAAUUAGUUACCGUAGGGAUAACAGCAUAAUCUUUUUUGAGAGUUCAUAUCGAAAAAUUGGUUUGUGACCUCGAUGUUGGAUUAAGGUUUCCUAAAGGUGUAGAGGCUUUUAAGGGUUAGUCUGUUCGACUAUUAAAACUUUACAUGAGCUGAG
rnacentral:rRNA from 1 species